CUCCUCCCGAUUCUUUACCCCUCAGAUCUAAGUAUUGGUCUGAGUGGCUGAAAAAGGAGGAAUAGUAAAACUGAAGUGAACUUGGUCCGGUGACAUACAAGUUCAUUUCAGACAGAC
rnacentral:snoRNA from 1 species